UUGUUUUCCAGAAACUAAAUAUUCCUACGUUUCUCAUUCUGUGCACAGAGUGUACUGGCAUGAUUCUCAGCUAAGUCGGCUGCAUAAAUUCAGUGCCAAGAGGAAUUUUUUGAGGCAACAUUUACAGUGGCAGCUGAACAGCACAAACUCGGAAGCUGCAUGCAUUAAAGGAAACCCUGCUGAUUUUGUCUUCCAACAUUCUGUGUGUUAUGAGUGGCGGUUUGGUCACUCCACCAGGGAAAAUGUGAAGCCCUGAGGUGUUGAAAGCACAGCUUCUUAACCUCCUGACCCUCAGAUCCUCUGCAGAAUGGUCUUCCCAUACCUGGCAACUUAAUGGUACAUAACAUCGUGCUGGUUUUGAGUAGUAAAGGAGUGGAAAUAUGCCUUUGGAAAAGGGUUUAAGGCAAUUCCUUUGGGCCUGGCAGUUCUCUGUGGGAUAUAUUUAAAAAGGUAAAGGUAAAAGUUCCCUUGACAAUUUGUCCAGUCGUGUCCAACUCUAGGGGGCGGUGCUCAUCCCCGCUUCCAACCCAUAGAGCUAGUGUUUGACUGAAGACAAUUUCCGUGGUCACGUGACCAGUGCGACUAGACACGGAAUGCCGUGACCUUCCCACCAAGGUGGUCCCUAUUUAUCUACUCGCAUUUUUACAUGCUUUCGAAAUGCUAGGUUGGCGGGAGCUGGGACUAGCGACGGGAGCUCACUCCGUCACGUGGAUUUGAUCUUACAUCUGCUGGUCUUCUGACCUUGCAGCCCAGAGGCUUCAGAGGUUUAACCUGCAGCGUCACUACAUCCCUGUGUCACUUUUAUAAUGAAUUGUGUGC
rnacentral:lncRNA from 1 species